rnacentral:lncRNA from 1 species
CAAGCUCAAUGCAAUGUAAUCUUUUAGAUACUUGUGAAGAUAGAUGUUUUUCCUGCGCUAUUUCAUUCUGAAUUUUUCUAGCAGUUACAACCUGUAUAAUGUCUGAUGCUUGGAUGCGCCUGUAUCAACAUUAUCAAUACUUGACUCAAUUCCUUGUGGGUUUAUGGUAUUCCAGAGAGUAGAUCAGGUUCAUGGAGACAAAAGCCAGCAGUUGGCAGAGGGCAGAGAAAGCUUAUGUUCAACCACGGUGAAAGAAACAGGCCCUAGGGAGCUUCUUUGUGUAAUGAUACAGAUGACAAAUCUCAUGAAGUGUGGUCUGAUCAGCAAAGAAAAAGAUACCCAGCUACUUAUUGGGACUUCUGUUACAAAUGUUCUUGGAGGUCUGUUUACAACUGAUGUGCUUUCUUUUGCAUAUGUAUUCCAACUGGAGGCCAGGAAAAGAUGUUUUUCGAAGGGAAGUUUUCUGUGAAAUUUAGUGCUUCAUCUGCUCCAGUUUUUUACAGAAGAGCAGAAUGCCCAGCAGUUGUCUGAUGAGAAUAUGCUGGGACUGAAUAAGCUCCAGCUGCCUGAUUGUUUUUAGCCUGAAUGAAAGGUGAGUUCUUUCAGCUAUCACGCAUCAGUCCACAUUUCAUAUAUGUACAUACAGAUUUAAU